GUGGAGGCAGCAGUGAGGAAUCUUGCGCAAUGGGCGAAAGCCUGACGCAGCGACGCCGCGUGCGGGAUGACGGUCUUCGGAUUGUAAACCGCUUUUCUCGAGGACGACAAUGACGGUACUCGAGGAAUCAGCCCCGGCUAACUCCGUGCCAGCAGCCGCGGUAAGACGGAGGGGGCAAGCGUUGUCCGGAAUUACUGGGCGUAAAGAGCGCGUAGGCGGUCGCGUACGGCGGUGGUGAAAGCUCCCGGCUCAACUGGGAGAGGCCCGCCGCAACGGCGUGACUCGAGGGUGGUAGAGGCGGAUGGAAUUCCUGGUGUAACGGUGAAAUGUGUAGAGAUCAGGAGGAACACCCGUGGCGAAGGCGGUCCGCUGGGCCAUGCCUGACGCUGAGGCGCGAAAGCUAGGGGAGUGAACGGGAUUAGAUACCCGAGUAGUCU
rnacentral:rRNA from 1 species